rnacentral:rRNA from 1 species
UACGGGGGGGGCAAGCGUUGUUCGGAAUUACUGGGCGUAAAGGGCGCGUAGGCGGUUUGCUAAGUUGGAUGUGAAAACUCUGGGCUUAACCCAGAGCCUGCAUCCAAAACUGGCUGACUUGAGUACUGGAGGGGAAAGCGGAAUUCCUGGUGUAGCGGUGAAAUGCGUAGAUAUCAGGAGGAACACCGGUGGCGAAGGCGGCUUUCUGGACAGUAACUGACGCUGAGACGCGAAAGCGUGGGGAGCGAACAGG